rnacentral:rRNA from 1 species
UACGAAGGGGGCUAGCGUUGCUCGGAAUCACUGGGCGUAAAGGGUGCGUAGGCGGGUCUUUAAGUCAGGGGUGAAAUCCUGGAGCUCAACUCCAGAACUGCCUUUGAUACUGAGGAUCUUGAGUACGGGAGAGGUGAGUGGAACUGCGAGUGUAGAGGUGAAAUUCGUAGAUAUUCGCAAGAACACCAGUGGCGAAGGCGGCUCACUGGCCCGUAACUGACGCUGAGGCACGAAAGCGUGGGGAGCAAC